UACGUAGGGUCCAAGCGUUAAUCGGAAUUACUGGGCGUAAAGCGUGCGCAGGCGGUUUUGUAAGACGGAUGUGAAAUCCCCGGGCUCAACCUGGGAACUGCAUUCGUGACUGCAAGGCUAGAGUGUGUCAGAGGGGGGUAGAAUUCCACGUGUAGCAGUGAAAUGCGUAGAGAUGUGGAGGAAUACCGAUGGCGAAGGCAGCCCCCUGGGGAUAACACUGACGCUCAUGCACGAAAGCGUGGGGAGCAAACAGG
rnacentral:rRNA from 1 species